rfam:Oryza rufipogon genomic scaffold, chr02
AAAAAAGCAAACUCUGGGUUUCCGUGUUCAAUUUUGACUGUUCAUCUUAUAUGAAUUUUUUUUAUAAUUUGUAUUUUUAUUGUUGUUAGAUGAUAAAACAUGAUUAAUAUUUAUGCUUGACUUGUCUUUUUAAUUUUUUUCAUAAUUUUUUUAAAUAAGACGGACGGUCAAACGAUUGGACACAGAAAAACCAAGGUUUGUCUUUUU